CCAGCUUGUGAGAGGCCAGAACAGACGCUGAAUUACCUUUCUAUUGCUACCAGAAGCAGUUAAGUUGCAUGGAGAUUUUGGUUUAAAUCUGCAUCCAAAUUUUCAAAAAUAUAAAGCUUACAUAAUUUCCUUGACAAGAAUCACACUGAAAGAAGGACUCCUUCUGUAUUCUCCUAUGAAUAAAAAGACACUUGAAGUAGACGAAGGACCCUGGGGUGGAGAGUGGCUGCUGAUUAGAUACACUAAUUAGAUACACUUACACAAAGAAAAUUUUCUUCAGCUUUCCCGCUUUGCAUUGUGUUUUCCACUAGAAGUUUGCAUCAAAGAGAAGAAAAUUAAUUUCCUGCACACAGAGGUUUCAGUGGACUAUUUCAAGAAAAGGAAAAAGGAACAUUAUUCACUAGAAAACAGUUAUUCAGAGUUACAUCAGAAGACUCUAUAAAUAAGCGAUGUGCUCAGCCUGCCAGCUCUUACAUGCAUACCAAUUACCUCUAUUGGUUUCAGGACACGUAGUCAGUACUUUAAACAACCCAGAUAAUAUUGCAAACUGAAAUAUUCAACAUCUCCAUCAUGGUAUGCUGUCACCACGCAGAGAAAUGAUUAUAAUUGGUAAUCACUUCCACUGCUGAACAUGAAGAAAUUGUUGACGAAGUAACUGACCUCAG